rnacentral:rRNA from 1 species
AGCAACAGCUAGCUUAACCACCCAAUAAUUGAACAAUAUAAAUAAAACAAAAUAAACCUAACACCAAAAAUUAAACCAUUCUUUUACCUGAGUAUGGGAGACAGAAAAGGUUCUACCCAAAGCAAUAGAGACAGUACCGCAAGGGAAAGCUGAAAGAGAAAUGAAACAACCCAUAUAAGCACAAAAAAGCAAAGAUUAAACCUUGUACCUUUCGCAUCAUGAUUUAGCCAGUACACCCAAGCAAAGAGACCUUUAGUUUGAAACCCCGAAACCAGGUGAGCUACCCCGAGACAGCCUAUUAAGGGCCAACCCGUCUCUGUGGCAAAAGAGUGGGAAGAGCUCCGGGUAGAAGUGAUAGACCUACCGAACCUGGUGAUAGCUGGUUGCCUAAGAAAUGAAUAGAAGUUCAGCCUCGUACCCUCCCCUAAUCAAAAACACAAACAAGACACUAAGAGAAAUACACGAGAGUUAGUUAAAGGGGGUACAGCCCCUUUAACAAAGGACACAACCUUUCCAGGAGGAUAAAGAUCACAAUACAUAAAACAUACUGUUCUAGUGGGCCUAAAAGCAGCCACCUAAACAGAAAGCGUUAAAGCUCAGACAGAAAGAAGUUUAUUAUUCUGAUAAAAAAUCUUACUCCCCUAGAUACUAUUAGGCCAACCCAUGCCCACAUGGAAAAGACUAUGCUAAAAUGAGUAACAAGAAGACCCGCCCUUCUCCAAGCACAAGUGUAAGCCAAACCGGACCAACCAUUGGCAACUAACGAACUCAACCCAAGAGAGCAAUGUGGACUACAAAAAGACCAAGAAAAAUCCACAACCAAACUAUCGUUACCCCCACACUGGAGUGCUAUUUAAAGGAAAGACUAAAAGAAAAGGAAGGAACUCGGCAAACACAAGCCUCGCCUGUUUACCAAAAACAUCGCCUCCUGCGACACAACCAAGUAUAGGAGGUCCAGCCUGCCCAGUGACUACAAGUUCAACGGCCGCGGUAUUUUGACCGUGCAAAGGUAGCGCAAUCACUUGUCUUUUAAAUAGAGACCUGUAUGAAUGGCUAAACGAGGGCUUAACUGUCUCCCCUUUCAAGUCAGUGAAAUUGAUCUACCCGUGCAGAAGCG